CAGUAGCCACGGUAAUACAGAGGAUGCAAGCGUUGUCCGGAAUUAUUGGGCGUAAAGGGCCCGCAGGCGGUUUUUUAAGUCUGAUGUGAAAGCCCCCGGCCCAACCGGGGAGGGUCAUUGGAAACUGGGAAACUUGAGUGCAGAAGAGGAGAGUGGAACUCCACGUGUAGCGGUGAAAUGCGUAGAGAUGUGGAGGAACACCAGUAGCGAAGGCGACUCUCUGGUCUGUAACUGACGCUGAGGAGCGAAAGCGUGGGGAGCGAACAGGAUUAGAUACCCGAGUAGUCCCUGUCUCUUAUAC
rnacentral:rRNA from 1 species